rnacentral:rRNA from 1 species
GAUGAACGCUGGCGGCGUGCCUAAUACAUGCCAGUCGAGCGAACGGACGAGAAUCUUGCUUCUCUGAUGUUAGCGGCGGACGGGUGAGUAACACGUGUAUAACCUACCUAUAAGACUGGGAUAACUUCGGGAAACCGUAUCUAAUACCGGAUAAUAUUUUGAACCGCAUGGUUCAAAAGUGAAAGACGGUCUUGCUGUCACUUAUAGAUGGAUCCGCGCUGGAUUAGCUAGUUGGUAAGGUAACGGCCUACCAAGGCAACGAUGCAUAGCCGACCUGAGAGGGUGAUCGGGCACACUGGAACUGAGACACGGUCCAGACUCCUACGGGAGGCAGCAGUAGGGAAUAUUCCACAAUGGGCGAAAGCCUGACGGAGCAACGCCGCGUGAGUGAAGAAGGUCUUCGGAUCGUAAAACUCUGUUAUUAGGGAAGAACAUAUGUGUAAGUAAAUGUGCCCAUCUUGACGGUACCUAAUCAGAAAGCCCCGGCUAACUACGUG